rnacentral:rRNA from 2 species
UACGGAGGAUGCGAGCGUUAUCCGGAUUUAUUGGGUUUAAAGGGUGCGUAGGCGGUAUAGCAAGUCAGCGGUUAAAUGUCGGGGCUCAACCUCGGCCUGCCGUUGAAACUGUUGUACUAGAGAGAAUGAGAAGUAUGCGGAAUGCGUGGUGUAGCGGUGAAAUGCUUAGAUAUCACGCAGAACUCCGAUUGCGAAGGCAGCAUGCCGGCAUUUAUCUGACGCUGAGGCACGAAAGCGUGGGGAUCGAACAGG